rnacentral:rRNA from 1 species
UGAGUGAAGAAGGCCCUCGGGUUGUAAAGCUCUUUUGUUGGGAAAGAAAUCCUGUUGGCUAAUACCCGGCAGGGAUGACGGUACCCAAAGAAUAAGCACCGGCUAACUUCGUGCCAGCAGCCGCGGUAAUACGAAGGGUGCAAGCGUUACUCGGAAUUACUGGGCGUAAAGCGUGCGUAGGUGGUGGUUUAAGUCUGUUGUGAAAGCCCUGGGCUCAACCUGGGAAUUGCAGUGGAUACUGGAUCACUAGAGUGUGGUAGAGGGUGGCGGAAUUCCCGGUGUAGCAGUGAAAUGCGUAGAGAUCGGGAGGAACAUCCGUGGCGAAGGCGGCCACCUGGGCCAACACUGACACUGAGGCACGAAAGCGUGGGGAGCAAACAGGAUUAGAUACCCUGGUAGUCCACGCCCUAAACGA